AUUCCAGCUCCAGUAGCGUAUAUUAAAGUUGUUGCAGUUAAAAAGCUCGUAGUUGGAUUUCUGGUACGCUGCGCCUGAGCCGCCUGCUUUAAGCAUGGUGUGUCUCGGAGCGCGGUUGCCAUCCUUCUAGAAAGCGUUCCUAUCCUUCGCUGGACCGGAUUCGCAAUCUAGAUCUUUUACUUUGAAAAAAUUAGAGUGUUUAAAGCAGGCUUAUGCUAUGAAUACAUUAGCAUGGAAUAAUAAUAUAGGACUUUGGUUCUAUUUUGUUGGUUUCUAGAACUAAAGUAAUGAUUGAUAGGGAUAGUUGGGGGUGCUAGUAUUCAGCGGCCAGAGGUGAAAUUCUUGGAUUCGCUGAAGACUAACUUAUGCGAAAGCAUUCACCAAGGAUGUCUUCAUCA
rnacentral:rRNA from 1 species